UUUAUGAAAUUGGCAUUUUUUAAAGUUAUAUUAAAUAUGAAGUGAAGAUCUGCCCAUCACUCACCUUGCUUUGCCAUAGAAUGUAUUAGGGCAUGUACCAGCCAGUUGGAAAGAUGCAAGCAAGUAAUAGAUUCCUUGCAUCAAUAAAAAGCCUUAUGCCUAAAAUUUCUCAUUUGUUUUUGUCAGUCAACAGCAAAAUUAAAAAGAAAAUCAACAUAGUAUCAAUUCAGUACUCAUCCUAAGGUAAUCACUCAUGUACACCACAAAGUAAGAUAUCAUUGUUUAUUUCAGUUUUUCCUUUUUGAAUGUUUAUUAUUUAUAGAUUCAAAAUAGAUAUACCCAUAUGCUGGCAAGUGAACAUCCCAUAUAUAUUAUCUGUUGGCUAUCAUUUUUUAAAUAAAAAGAACAUUUUAUUAUCUAAUAUAUGUAUAUAUAUCAUCUAUUAUAUAUACAUAUAAUAUAUACAUAUGUGUGCAUGUAUACAUGUUUAUAUGUAUAUAUGUGUGUAUGUAUAUAAUAUAUAAUAUAUACAUACAUACAUUAAGGAAAAUGAAAUAGGUUGUGAUGGAAAAUUGAUAGUGGCCAAAUAUAAGCUUUUUCUUUACAGUUAGAAGUUCAGUCUUGAACAUUUCUUUCUGUACUGAAAAAUAACUAGUCAGUAGUUUCCAUUCAUAUGAAUAAGGUAUGAUUAGGCUUGGUAUGGUCUGCGCCAGAACAAACAUCGGAUAUUUUUUUACUCCAUAAUCUUAAAAUCUGAGGCAUGACUUUCCUGGAAUGAACUAAGAAUCCAUGCUUAUAAGGUUCACUUCAUAAUAUUAUUUUUGAUAAACUAAACUGACAGCUUUAUGAGAGAUCAUAUAUCCCCCAUAUCUUGUUCUAGUCAGAGGAUGUGUGUGAACAUGAGUGGCACUAAGAACCAUGAAGUACUAAGGUGGGUAAUACUGAAGUAAUGUGGAAUUUUAGAAACUGGAUGCCCUAAGACAUGCUACAACAGACUACUAUUCGAAAUGAAUCUAUCAAAUUGCAACGAAUAUUUUAUAGAAUUAUGACCAUGAGCAUGAAAGACUUCUAGUAGGAAAAUCUUGUGUCUUCCUUGGAUUUAACUGUGAUUGGUUUGUUGGUGAUUGGUGUUGAGGAGUUUUGUGUUCUGCUCUUCUCAGACAUUUCAGUGUUCCACAUUGUCCAUUUCCUUCAAGCUGUUGAAAUUUAAAGCAGUCUGUUUAUAAUCUUACAAGAUUAUGAGAAUCUUAUAAGAUUCAGAAACAAUCCAUCCUCAGGUUUCUGUUAAUACACUAAUAAGAGGCAGAAGGAAGAGCCCAGAUGCACGUUUAAAGGAUCAGAAUUAGCAUAGGAACUGUUACAAUUUCUAGACUGUCUCCAGAAAUUAAUAUGCAUAGGUACUGGCUCACAGGACCUUCUUGAGUUUGCACUAAUCUGGCUCACUAAAUCAGUUUGUAAAGACAUGCAGUUUUCCUUGAUUGGUCCUCUACUAUUCAGCCCCCCAUGUAUUCAUUAACGCAAUAUAAAUGCUGAAGUGCCUCGCAUGACUUCACGCUGUAGAGAGGGGAAGGCACCUGCAAGGGCAGCACCGGAAGCUCACUGGGAUGAUUGACACGUUGGAGGCAAAAGAGCACAUGCAACCGGCUCCAGCUUGGCUCAGCUUUAGACUCCAGGAGUUUACAAGUAGUACAGAUGGCCUCAAGUACAUCUGUGUGUAUUUGUACAUGUGCACACACCCAUGUAUAUAUAUUUAUCUAUCUGUACAAACACUACAUAUGUAUACACACUAUCUAUGUAAUAUAUAAUAUAUGUAUAAUGCAUAUAAAUUCUAACAAGUGUAUUUGUGUUAUCUUUAAAAUAGAACAAUUGUAUCUUGAAAUGGUAAAUGCAGAGACUUGGCUUUAUUGUUGAUCUGUGGAUUUAAUGAAUUUUUAGGUGAAAGGAUGUUUUAAGUGUAUAAUUUCUUUUCUUAAUUUAAUAUAUUUAUGUAAAUGCAUGCCUGAAAUUUGAUUAGAUUGGCUGUUCUUUUGUGUCUUAACAUGAUCAAAUGUAUUAAACUUUAUCUUAUGACUU
rnacentral:lncRNA from 1 species